rnacentral:rRNA from 1 species
UACGUAGGGUGCAAGCGUUAAUCGGAAUUACUGGGCGUAAAGCGUGCGUAGGCGGUUUUGUAAGUCAGAUGUGAAAUCCCCGGGCUUAACCUGGGAACUGCGUUUGAAACUACAAGGCUAGAGUGUGGAAGAGGGGGGUGGAAUUCCACGUGUAGCAGUGAAAUGCGUAGAGAUGUGGAGGAACACCGAUGGCGAAGGCAGCCCCCUGGGUUAACACUGACGCUCAGGCACGAAAGCGUGGGGAGCAAACAGG